GAUGUUUUGUUAUGAUUCAUUUUACCUAAAUAUUUUUCUUUUUUAGUUUCUAACCGCAGAAAACAAUAACGAAUGUUUUACGCGGCGUAAAACGAAAAGCUGAUAAGUGUUAAGGAGCGAAAUGUUUUUUGGGCAAACUAAUCAUUGGAGGCUAAAAACGACAGAACUCCACGUGCAUUGCGAUGACGACAUUUGAUUGAUGCUCCGACUAAUGUUUACUUUUUCCCUUCUUCCGUUUUCAACAGAUCACAACCAGCUGCAGCAAUGAAUUGCUCCCCCUCGAUCGACUCGUCGUCUCAGGAAACGAUGGGUAUCAGUAUGGCAAAAAUUACAAUUCGGACAAAAUCGACUCGGAUGAGGAGCAGUAGCACCAGAUCGUCUGUGCUGUUUCAGUUAGACACUGUCUGCAGCCAAAAUUCUCACCAGCUGAUGGACAAUUUGUUCGAAAGUUCGAUAGUUCCAAUCACAUCGCCACAACAAUAACAACUACAGCGGGAAGCGUCCGCACUCGCUUAUCACGGCUAGCAACAAUCUAAAGCAGCUCUUUGCGAUGGCACUCAGCGACGACUACCAACAGCAGCCCACAAACCCUACCAUCAAAGCACGAUUUCCGGAACAUAUCCGGUCGCUCAACAACAAAAAAUUCGCGUCCGGGGGUUAACGGAGAGUCAUUUUGUGUAUAAAAUUGCUCCAAAGUGAUUUCGUCCGCUUCCUUGCUGGAACCGUCGGCGAAGAUAACGGUACGAACGUGGUGUACGAGAACUAUUUUAGCAGAUCCGAUGUUCCGCUGCACAACUGCGACACAGAAGAUUCAAAUCAAUCGUCGAUACAGCAGAAGAAAAAAUCCACCUGCAACCUAGGCCCAAACCAAGUCAGCUGCCUCGAUUGUCAAUGCAUGUUCCCCUCGGACAACUUCAGGAGACUGCUAUCUCGUCGAAUGAAUUACUCAUGACAGAUUCUGCCGCGACCUCCAGAUGAGAUGUUAGAAAACAGAAAAGAAAGGUCCUCGAUUCAAAGCUAUAAUGCGGCCGAGUGAAAAACAUACAACAUACAUGCAGCUUCCAUCGGGAUUACCAGUGAAAAUAGAAAUCAAGCUAUUCCAUGUGUUGAACGCGAUUGUUGCAUUUGGCAACGUAUUCGCGAUAGGGGCACCCGUGAUCAACGUGAACCACAUCAAGAAGAGCAAAGAGCGUACGACAUGCAUUAUCGAGGAUUUGUGUUUCGAUGUCCCAUCCGAGUAUGUACGACCUGGUUCCGAUUUCCAUCUUCAAAUCACCUUCGAAGUUGAGGAUGAAUUGAUGUAAUUUGCGAUUCGGGUCGCGUAGCGAGAACGACGAGGUUGAUAUAUGGGAAGCACUGAGAGUCCAACUGCCACUAACAUCAAACUUCUACGAAGGCGAUAAGUUGCGAAGGCUUGUGAAAAACAUCGUAUAACGUAUAACGAAACUCAAUUUUUGUAUUUCAACCAUGUAGUUCUGCCUAAGCUGUAGAGGAUGAGGAUGCCCGAAAAAGCAUGCUAUUGAGUACUGUAAUACAAAACUCACUCGUUAAAAGCCUACUGGAAAAGCUUUUCUAUAAUUAAAUAAAGAUAAAAAUAUUUCAA